rnacentral:rRNA from 1 species
AUUGAACGCUGGCGGCAUGCCUUACACAUGCAAGUCGAACGGUAACGGGCCUUCGGGUGCCGACGAGUGGCGAACGGGCGAGUAAUGCAUCGGAACGUACCUUUCAGUGGGGGAUAACGUAGCGAAGGUUACGCUAAUACCGCAUAUUCUGUGAGCAGGAAAGCAGGGGAUCGCAAGACCUUGCGCUGAUUGAGCGGCCGAUGUCAGAUUAGCUAGUUGGUGAGGGAAAGGCUCACCAAGGCGACGAUCUGUAGCGGGUCUGAGAGGAUGAUCCGCCACACUGGGACUGAGGCACGGCCCAGACUCCUACGGGAGGCAGCAGUGGGGAAUUUUGGACAAUGGGGGCAACCCUGAUCCAGCCAUGCCGCGUGAGUGAAGAAGGCCUUCGGGUUGCAAAGCUCUUUCGGCCGGGAAGAAAUCGCACAGGCUAAUACCUUGUGUAGAUGACGGUACCGGAAUAAGAAGCACCGGCUAACUACGUGCCAGCAGCCGCGGUAACAC